rnacentral:lncRNA from 1 species
UUAUUCUUUUUAUAUUCAACCAACCUAAGUGCUUCCAAGUGAUCAUCUUGUAAAGCAUUUCAAUUGGCCUGCAAAGCAUCGUUACUUUUAGUUUUACUUUUCCUAACUACAACUAGCUUUAUUCAGCCCUUUGUAGCUUUUAGCUCAACUCUUACCAUUUGCUCACCUCUUUCGACCUAUAUUUCAAGUACUUUAAACACUAUUUUCCUACAUUCUUAGAUAGUCUCUUUAAGUCUUGUUUCAACCACCCUUCACCCAAUUUUUGCAAUAUCUAAAUAUAAGGUCAAAAAGAUCAAUUUUGGUACUUGGUUGUGAGCAUCCCUUACAUAAUCCUUAUGAGAACGAGACUCACUUAUCACUUU